rnacentral:rRNA from 1 species
ACUCCUACGGGAGGCAGCAGUGGGGAAUAUUGCACAAUGGGCGGAAGCCUGAUGCAGCAACGCCGCGUGCGGGAUGACGGCCUUCGGGUUGUAAACCGCUUUCGCCUGUGACGAAGCUGGAGUGACGGUAAGGGAAAGCAAUGCAUCCGGCUAACUACGUGCCAGCAGCCGCGGUGAUACGUAGGGUGCGAGCGUUGUCCGGAUUUAUUGGGCGUAAAGGGCUCGUAAGGUGGUUGAUCGCGUCGGAAGUGUAAUCUU